rnacentral:rRNA from 1 species
AUUGAACGCUGGCGGAAUGCUUUACACAUGCAAGUCGAACGGCAGCACGGGGGCAACCCUGGUGGCGAGUGGCGAACGGGUGAGUAAUACAUCGGAACGUGCCCAGUCGUGGGGGAUAACGUAGCGAAAGUUACGCUAAUACCGCAUACGAUCUACGGAUGAAAGCGGGGGACCGUAAGGCCUCGCGCGAUUGGAGCGGCCGAUGUCAGAUUAGGUAGUUGGUGAGGUAAAGGAUCACCAAGCCGACGAUCUGUAGCUGGUCUGAGAGGACGACAAGCAACACUGGGACUGAGACACGGCCCAGACUCCUACGGGAGGCAGCAGUGGGGAAUUUUGGACAAUGGGCGCAAGCCUGAUCCAGCCAUUUCGCGUGCAGGACGAAGGCCUUCGGGUUGUAAACUGCUUUUGUACGGAACGAAAAGGCUCUGGUUAAUACCUGGGGCUCAUGACGGUACCGUAAGAAUAAGCACCGGCUAACUACGUGCCAGCCGCCGCGGUAA